AGUACACCUCAUUCGAUUUUUCCAGUCACUUUGCUUUUCAAUUUAGUAUACAAAUUCUAGUCAUUAAACCUGCCAGUUUCUCAUAGUUUGUGCUUUGCACUGUAUAAAUAAUAGAAAUGUGGGUUUUUAAAAAAAAUUUGGAAAAUUAUUUUUAAGAAUAUUUAUUAAUGUCUGCCAUUAAGCAUCAGGCUUCAGUUGAAAUGGGUACUUGAAAUAAUAAACCCUUUGUCUUAGAUUUUCUUGUGUGUAUAGAAUUCUAAUGAUUAAUAGUUAAUAGCUUUAGAAUUACAACUUUGUCUUCAUUAAUUAUUUAUUCCUACAUGAAUUUGAUUGGUAAUAGACAAUGUUUUAUACUUCUUACUGUCCCAUUUUUAAUAAAUAUCACCACCAAAUGAUGGAGUUUUGCUGAUUUUUGACAACUUAAUGAAAUUGGUACUUUUCUUUAGGGAGACCAUACUCAUAAUUUUUUAGAACAUGAGUAUUUCGAACUGGAGCUUUCACUGUCCCAGGCAGGGGAGGAAAAGAUACUUUGAAGCAAGAAAAAAUUUAGACCUUGGCUAAACAUCCUUUUUCUGAAAAUCUUUGCUGCCAGCUUUUGUUCUUGUCUCCUAUCAUAGGCAUUGAAUUUGGAAUCACAAUUCUGAGAUCUCAGAAAUAUCAGUUUUCUGAGAUCUCUCACUGUUGAAAAUGUAGUUAUGACUAGGAAUUAGUGCACAGAACUUGCUUCCAGCUUUAACCAGUUAAGACUCCCCUAUUAUGCUGUCCUUGGAGACUCCUCUUUACUUCAGUUAUUCAAGUCCUUAAAUACCUUGAAUACUUCUCCAACAAAAAGUAAUUCAAUGCCAGAUACUUGUAAUAGAACAAAUGCUAUAAGAGAUUACCUUACUCAGAAAAGGACAACCUUUUCUUUGUAACUCUGUUCAGAAAUGUCCAUUAGUUUUCUUCUCUUUAACCAUGUUAGCAUAAAAAAAAACUGGUUUACAUACUUGUACAUAAAAGAGUUGAUUUUGUGAAUCUUCUAUAAGUCAUGUAUACAAAGUAGUUUAGGCUCUCUCACUAUGUGAAAUCAGAGUGAAACUUCUCUUUACAAGUUUUCAGUGAACAAAAACUGUUUCAAACCUGUGUAGUUUUCUGAAAAAUAUAAAAGCAGCUGUUUGUUUGUAGCUGUUUGGAAGCCAUAUACGAGAGUGAUAAAGCCCUGAAAAAAUUUCCUCUUUAUUAGGCACCAUAAGAAUCACAGUUGUUCUAAAAGUACAAGUACUUUUUAAUAUCUUGCACUAUUUUUUAAGAAGCUUAAGGAAUCUAUUUUGUCCUUGAAAGAUUAUUCUUUCUCUGGUUUUCACUACACAUUGGGAUUUAAAUGAAUUCUGUGUAAAAACAGGAGGACUAUUACAGUUCUUUGCAGGCUCAUGGCCUGACAGAUGUCUUGAAAUUCACACUAGAAUACAGAAGAAAGUUGAAAUAACCUAUUUUAAAGACACAACUACAUUUGGGAAAUGACAGUGUAUAAUACUGUUUAUCAGGAACUUUGACAUGUGUGUAUUUGAGACAACUAUUUUGCAGCAAGAAUAUCAAUGUAAUACUUAAAUAUAUAAUAAUAUAAUAAAAUAAAUCCACUGUCUUCUUGAAAGUC